UGUGAUUUUGUGAAAUUAAAGGAAAAAGAAGAAGAAGGUGAAGAUGAAACUAAUUUAAAGCAAAUUCUCUAUUUAACUAGCUAACCCUGCCUUUUCACUCAAGGGUCACUUUGAAUUUCGAGCUACUUUAUCCUCCUCAUUCUUCUUCUUCUUCUUCUUCUUCUUCUCCUUCUUCUUCUUCUUCUUCUUCUUCUUCUUCAAAUCCGACAAAAUUAUAAAACAAGCUUUUGUCUCCAUCCAACUUUCAAACUGAUUUUCUGUCAACCCCUUUUCAUCUCUCCCCUUAAAUUCAUACUCAGAAACAAAGAUGAUCCAGAAAAGCUCAGAACGAUCAGAGAGGAGAAAUGAUUGAAGGGUAAGAGAUAGAGAAAAAAAAUUAAGAAAGGAGUACACAAAAAUUUAAGGUGGACUUUGCUUUUGGAAGAAAGGGGAAGAAGAAAAAGGGUUAAAGGAUAGCUCUCUCUCUUUCCUGACUUGGAAUGUGAUAUAUCAACGGAGAGAAAAAGGGCUUUUUAUCACUACACAGCCAAAGUACUCUGUGAGUUAUCAUCAUCAAUAUGUAUAGGACAGUAACCCCACCUGCACUCCAUUCAACCUCCUCCUUCUUUUAAAGUUUAACUCAGAAUCCCCAUUUUUUUUUCUUUUUCUCUCUCUCUUAGAGUAAAAAAAGUAUAAUGGAAUCCACUGUGUUGUAACCAUAGGUCAAAAGAGGAUGUUGUGUUUGUAUAAUUAGUCUUUGUUUCAGAAAGGAAUGAAACUGGUAUGGAGGUGGUGGAUAUUCAAGAACAAGCCUGUAGGUUUCCACGAAUUGGUAAUGGUAGAAAUGAUUCCAACAAGUUAGGGCAAAAGGGUAUUGUUCAAUACUCCCCAGAUGAUGAAGAAGACAAGGAAUUUUCGAAAAGGGUCGCUAUUGUUACUUCUGCUACUGUUAAUCCCACCGGACGAUGUGAACCAGGUGGCAUCGGUGGAGUUGGUGCUAAUCGUCUUCACGGAUGGCAUCACUCAUCUCGUAUUAUUAGGGUUGCUCGAGCUUCUGGUGGUAAAGAUCGGCACAGUAAAGUUUGGACAUCGAAAGGGCUCAGAGAUCGUCGAGUUCGGCUUUCUGUCGCUACUGCGAUUCAGUUCUACGAUCUUCAAGAUCGGCUUGGUUUCGAACAACCCAGCAAAGCUGUUGAGUGGCUGAUCGAAGCAGCUUCCGACGCCAUUGCUGAACUUCCGUCUCUGAGUGGCUCUUUCCCUGAAACUCCCAGGCAACUCAGUGACGAGAAAAUGGGUAGCGAUGGGGCCGACCAAGGGUUUGAUUCGCCGGAAAUGGAGCUCGACGGUGACCCAAAAAAACACCAACAGAAUCCGAGACAGCAGCUUUCAUUGGCGAGGUCUGCUUGUAGUAGUAACUCAGAGACGAGCAAGGGCUCGGGAUUGUCUCUCUCCCGCUCCGAAAUCCUAGUGAACCGAGCGAAGGCACGUGACAGAGCAAGAGAGAGAACUGCGAAAGAGAAGGAAAGAGAGCAAGAAUCUCGUGACGCUCAUUGCAUUCCCAACAACCCAUCCUUCACUGAGCUUCUCACCGGCGGUAUCAACAAUAACGGCGCCAAUAACACCACCAAUCGGACGAAUUCAGCCUCGCAAAACAAUGUAGUGGAGCCGAAUUUGUUCGACAAGGCAACGGCCAUGGAUUACUUAGCCUCUUCUGGGAUUAUAGCCCAACAACCGUCGUCGUCUUCAUCUUCACGGCCUGGCCAUAAUCAAUCUGCGGGAUUUUCAGGGCAAAUCUUUUUGGGGAAUCCACACCAAUUGCCGGUGUCGAUUCCACAAUUUAACAUCUCAGCCGCUGAAAAUACUCAACAGGAUCGGCUUCAACAUUUCUCGUUCGUCCCAGAUAAUUUGAACGACUAUAAUCUUAACUUCACCAUCUCUGCCGGCCUUGCUGGUUGCAAUAGGGGGACCCUUCAGUCCAAUAUUUCACCGUCUCUUUUGCCUUACCUUCAGAGGUUUCCUCACUUAGAGGGAUCAAACGUACCCUUUUUCAUCGGAGCUGCAUCGCCAACGACGGCGACGACUCCCGUACAGUUGGAAAAUCACCAUCAGUUGACACCAGCAUUAUUUGAUGGUAGCUGGCAACUCUGUUAUGCUGAUGGAAGCCAUCACUCAGAUCAAAAGGGUAAAGGAAAGAACUGAUGAGUUCUCAGAAAGCACAUUUCUUCCACCCCAUUUCCAGAUUCAAAGCCUUCCAUGAGAUGCAAUUAACAACUCGUCAAAUCUGGUUGUGAUGGUGGAAAUAUGAAGAUGGAGCACCAGAGAGUGGCCCUGCUCAUCGUGAGUCCUCCAUGUUCAGAUCUCCACAUUUUUAUGCUUCUGAAACACUUGAUUUUUCUUUGCUUUAUCCCAUUUUGAGUUUCUAAAUUCCUUCUUUACCUCUCGCAUUGAUUCUUAUUAUGUUUUCAAGUGUUUAUGUGUAAUCUUUCCACAAGCAAAUGCAUGUUUUGUUGGUAUUGAAAGUAGAGACGUAGAACAAACACAAAUUUAUGUGGAAACUCUAGUACAGGGAGAAAAACCACGAUGCUGAUA